GUUAUGUUAACCCUCCCAGACCCAAAAAUUACUCCUUCGAAUCAAAAUCCGCCCCACAAGUGGUUGUCACACACUAUUCCUCUCCAAAUUGGUGAAAUAGUUGUUGAUUAAGGUUUUGAAGUUACUUAUGGAGAGCUCUUUAUAGUUGUUGGCAACAUCAUUUGGAAGAUUGUUCCAUGAUGCAGCACCUCGAUAUGAAAACGAUUUCUUCAUGAAGUCUGUUUUAGGUUUUUCCAAAUAAAGUUUACAGUUAUUACUUCUUAACGCAU